GAGGAUGUAGCUCAGCCGGUUAGAGCGCAAGUUUGUGGCACUUGAGGUCGGGGGUUCGAAACCCCUCAUUCUCC
rnacentral:tRNA from 1 species